AUGUUAUUAAUUCAAGCUAUGCAUUCCCACUGACUCAGCUGUGCCCUUCACAGCUGUAACUGAUAAAGGUCUGGACGUGCAGUUCACAGCAGAGGAGAGAGACUGUGGCUGCUCUGGACACAUCUGGACGACAGGCACCCAGCCCUCAAGAUGCUGUCUGCCAGCUAGGUGGAAACACCUCAUGUGAAUGGGCCCAUUUGCUUCCUCUCCACUCCAAAAGGGGAUGAGAAGAGGAAUGUUGAAAUCUCAAUAUACCACAGGCAGCCAACAGCUCAGGAGAGGAUCGUGCUCCAAAUGUUCAUCGAGCCAAUUAUUGGGACUUCUCUGCCAGGUUCCCAGGGAAGAAUGUUGUAAAUGAUGGCUGGGUGCCAUGGCUAAUCCAAAAUGAACAGAAUCGCUAUCUCCUCAGAGCCUGGGUCCCUAGGGCCUGGCCGACAUCCAAGGUGCCUGGGACACAGACAGCCAGUGAGGGGCAUCUGGAGCCCUGUGCGGUGAAGUAGCAGGCAGUCAAGGAUACUGAAAGGUGUGCAGGCUGUCCCAGGCCCCACGCCCAGAAGGCCAUUCACAGACCAAAGAACAUGACCAGCUCCAAAAUGAAGAUAAAAACUACGGUUCAGCUAUGAAUGUUUUCCGUCUAAACACUCAACACCAUACUACUACUUUGUGCUGUUUACAAUUUCCUAGCCUGCUACUAAAUAAAAGGUUCCAUAAAAGGGGCAACAGCCCAGAAAACAAACCAUAUUGUUGAAGUUGAACCUCUGCCCAUCCCAGAAAACCAGCUUGCUGGAGAAACCUGUGCCAUGUCCCACUGCAGCCUGGGGGUGCCACGGUGUGUGUCUGGUGUCUAUGCAUACUGUAUCCCUAGCACCUCAGGGCACCGGGCAUCUAACAAGAGCCCAGGCACUAGAGACAGGUUCCCGCAUCUCUCUCACGGAUGCACUUGCUGUUGCUAGCUCAUGUGGCCUCCUGACCCUCGAUUUCUUCUAUCAAUACACUAGGCUUUCUCUGCCGGGAAUACCUUGUUCUCCAAGGCACUCCAUCUGGCUAAAAUCUUUCCUUCAAAAGGUUUUCCGUGUGUCCUCCAUUUUUGCUAAUUUCAAGCCUGCCUUGGGUGGCUUUCCCAACUGUUGCUGUGGCCAGAAUUUGCCUUAUCACAAUCACAGGGUAUCUACUUAAUGCUGAGAAACUAGAUGCUUUCCCCCUGCAUCUGGAACAAGACAAGCAUAUUCUUACCACUCUUUUUCAAUCAUACUUCAAGACCGAACUAAUGUAAUAAGACAAGAAAAGGAAAUGAGAGAGGCACAGAUUGGGAAGGAAGAAAUAAAACUGCCUUUGUGGGGGCUGCGUGCGGUGGCUCAUGCCUGUAAUCGCAGCACUUUGGGAGGCCGAGGCAGGUGGAUCACCUGAGGUCAGGAGUUCAAGACCAGCCUGGCCAACAUAGUGAAACUCUGUCUCUACUAAAAAGACAAAAAUUAGCCAGGCAUAGUGGCACAUGCCUGUAAUCCCAGCUAUUCGGAAGGCUGAGGCAGGAGAAUCGCUUGAACCCGGCAAGUGGAGGUUGCAGUGAGCUGACAUUGUGCCACUGCACUCCAGCCUGGGCAACAAAGGUGAAACUCAGUCUCCAAAAAAAACUGUCUUUGUUCACAGAUAUGAUUGUUUAGGUAAAGAAUUCCGGCCGGGCACAUCACAAGGCCAGGAGAUCAAGACCAUCCUGGCCAACAUGGUGAUAUCCCGUCUCUACUAAAAAUACAAAAAUUAGCUGGGGGUGGUGGCGCACGCCUGUAGUCCCAGCUACUCAGGAGGCUGAGGCAGCAGAAUCGCUUGAACCUGGGAGAGAGAGGUUGCAGUGAGCCAAGAUCGUGCCACUGCACUCCAGCCCGGCGACAGAGCGAGACUCCAUCUCAAAAUAAAAAAAAAGAAUCCCGAAGACUCCUGGAUAAGAAGCAAGGCUGCGGGAUACACAAACAUCAACUACUUCUUUAUAUACCAGUAAUGCACAAUUACAAGCAACCACAGCAUCUACCACACUGUAAUGCUGUGGCCGCGUUUGUUCCCCUUCUUCCAAGUGCAUAUUGGCGUGGACAGUAUCUAGUGAGUGCUUCGCAGGUUGACAGGCCUCAAUGUGUGUUUGAAGAAAGCCAGAGAUUAGCCACGAUGGUCAGCCACACAAAGCCCAAAACCUGAGGCAGAGGCUAGCGCAUGAUGUCUGACCAGCCAGUGUGUCUUUAGACAGCAGUGGCGCGGAUAGUAAACUAUGGCUGCUAAAGUGGACAGGGAGCCAAAAGGAUCUAGGAUGUGAGGUAGCAUCCCAAAGUGCAGUCUCCUGACCGUCCAGCCACACUGAGAUUCUGAAGCACCACUCCGUCCAGCGGCAGAGCUUUAAGUUGGAAAAUCCAGGGGCAUAAAGGGAGACAAAUCAACUUACUCUAAAUCCUCUGAAAAUCCCCUUAACAAAGGAGUUGUGUUGACAGAGACUUCUCUAAUCUGAAGAGCAACUGUUUCUCCCUGGUUCUCUAGGCAUGUAACCCUUUCUGCCCACCUCUCAUGGAGAGUAGGCUCUGACGGCAGAAGCCCACCCCACCAACAGCCACCACAUGAAACAAACAGAUACUUCAAAGACAGAUCUUUGUUCAGAUCCUGCCCCUGGGCAGGCAUCUCAGCCCCAGGUCUAUCUUCUAGGUGGAUUUCGUAACAUCUACCUUGUAUCUGUGAGGAGUAAACAAAAGAUACAUAAAAGCAGCCAGCAUAGCUUCUAACAGAUAGAUGUUUAAAAGUUCCUUCCCCUUUGACACACAAAGUCACAGGAUGUGAUACAGCAGUAGCCCUCAGUUACAUUAGCCCUCAGCUACAUUCUUAACAAAAGAUACAACAUAGCAUGGCAGCCAGGCCUGGCAUGGUCUCCAGUUGUGCCCUCCCGUUGACCAGGCUGCACAGACUGCAGAGCCUUCCAAGCUGCUCCUUCUGCAGUCCUAAAUCUACUUGAGAGCCGUUGCUAAGAAAACAUCAGAUGGACUAUACUGCUGCUCCCUACCGUCCUGAAUAAGCAACGUACACACAAUACAGAGAAGCACUGAGCCACCACCACCGAACCCCCCCAAACCCUGGCUUCACAGAGUUUUAAAAUCGCCUUGGGGUACUGCGGUUGCUUUUCAAGUCUUUUACCCAUCAAAGCCUGAUGCACUUCCACACAUUCCUUUGUAGUGUUUACUGGACAAGUGCAAAGAACUAAGAUAUGCUCGGUAUUUACAGAGCUAAUGGGCCUCUUUCACAGCAAGUUGACAUCUCAUCUGCUUUUGGACAUGCCUUUGCUCAGGGAUCAGGUUUAGUGGGAGAUGCCCCACCUGCUGGCAAAUGGAAUACAGCUGUGGACUCUAACCAGGCGUCCUCACUUCCUCUGUAUGAAGCCAGCCUUCGUCACAGCAGAUGAUGUAAGAGGCAGAAACCAGUUGGAAAAUUGCAGGUGAAAUGGUAAUGGCAGCAUAUAAGGACCAAGCCCAGGAAACCCAAGGGACCAGCUGCAGCACGGUGAAAGAGUACUGCCUACAUGUGUGCCCAUCCACAACCUCAAGCAUUUCUGCAAUCUUGCCUGCAAGAUGAAAGAAAAGGAAGCAUUACAGGAGAUUCUAUUACGACCAGUGGAAUCUGCAGUUGGGAGAGCCACUAUGAGGCACAAGAUGAUGGCCUGCCUCACAAGGGUUACAGCAGCACCCAACAAUCCUGAGAAAAGAUCCCUCUGUGCCUGCCUCUGCAGGCCCAAUGACUCAUAGCCAAAUUUGGACUUUAUUAUAAGCAACAGUUUAUUAAGGUGGGCUCUGCAAAAGGCACAAACAUGGGUGGAGGUCCACAAACAAAAACACUUAGCGUAAGCACUGAUGGAAUAUUUGGCCUGUUUUUGCCUUGAAUCUUAGCUAAGUAUGUACAGGACUGUGGUUAACUCAACGGCUUUCGAGAAAAAUGCAAAAUGCUUUCUUUGCAUUCUUAAUAUAAAAGCUUGUGGUUGGCUGGACACGGUGGCUCACGCCUGUAAUCCCAGCACUUUGGGAGGCUGAGGCGGGCAGGUCCCGAGGUCAGCAGAUCAAGACCAACCUGCCCAAUAUCUAUUAAAAAUACAAAAAUUAGCCCGGCACGGUGGCAGGCGCCUGUAGUCCCAGCUACUCAGGAGGCUGAAGCAGAAGAAUCACUUGAACCCGGGGGGUAGCGGUUGCAGUGAGCAGAGAUUGCAUCACUGCACUCCAGCCUGGGCAACAGGGCGAGACUCCAAAUCAAAAAAAAAAAAAAAAAAAAAAAAGCUUGUGGUUACAUCCCUUCUCUCCUCACCCCACCCUGAAAAAGAGAUGAAAGAAAUUCUAUACAGCUUCCCUAACACUUUGACCUAAGCCAAAAUUAUAACAAUCUACUUCCCACAACCAGAAAAUCAGCUUAACAGAAAGAAUGCCCAAUCAUUCAAAUAAUCAAUCCGACUCCGCCUAAGAACCAAAGAAAGAAAACAGGUCUCACACUAAGACAUCCCCAAGCAGCCCAGGAUAAUUUCCUAGGAUUCUGGCAUUUGGGUAACUGCUGGCACAUCGUGUCACCUUUACAGGUCACACCCCAAGUGUAGCAACAACCCUCUUCUGGAGGCAC